GCUGUGUUUGCUUGGAAAGCAGGUGCUCAUUGAAAAUGAUCCAGAGAAAAUUAGCUUGGCCCCUGGUCAAGGACGACACCCAAACUUAUGAUGCGGUCCAUAUUUUG
ensembl:snRNA U6 U6 spliceosomal RNA